rnacentral:rRNA from 1 species
CCCAGACUCCUACGGGAGGCAGCAGUGGGGAAUAUUGCACAAUGGGGGGAACCCUGAUGCAGCGACGCCGCGUGGGUGAAGGAGCACCUCGGUGCGUAAAGCCCUAUCGGCAGGGAAGAAAAGCGAACAGGUUCGCCUGGACGGUACCUGACUAAGAAGCCCCGGCUAACUACGUGCCUGCAGCCGCGGGAAUACGUAGGGGGCAAGCGUUAUCCGGAUUCACUGGGUGUAAAGGGAGCGUAGACGGCGACGCAAGUCUGGAGUGAAAGCCCGGGGCCCAACCCCGGGACUGCUCUGGAAACUGCGUCGCUGGAGUACGGGAGGGGCAGGCGGAAUUCCUGGUGUAGCGGUGAAAUGCUUAGAUAUCACGAAGAACUCCGAUUGCGAAGGCAGCUUACUAAACUGCCACUGACAUUGAUGCUCGAAAGUGUGGGUAUCAAACAGGAUUAGAUACCCCUGUACG